rnacentral:rRNA from 1 species
GACAUCAGGAGGUUAGUGCAAUGGCAUAAGCCAGCUUGACUGCGAGCGUGACGGCGCGAGCAGGUGCGAAAGCAGGUCAUAGUGAUCCGGUGGUUCUGAAUGGAAGGGCCAUCGCUCAACGGAUAAAAGGUACUCCGGGGAUAACAGGCUGAUACCGCCCAAGAGUUCAUAUCGACGGCGGUGUUUGGCACCUCGAUGUCGGCUCAUCACAUCCUGGGGCUGAAGUAGGUCCCAAGGGUAUGGCUGUUCGCCAUUUAAAGUGGUACGCGAGCUGGGUUUAGAACGUCGUGAGACAGUUCGGUCCCUAUCUGCCGUGGGCGCUGGAGAACUGAGGGGGGCUGCUCCUAGUACGAGAGGACCGGAGUGGACGCAUCACUGGUGUUCGGGUUGUCAUGCCAAUGGCACUGCCCGGUAGCUAAAUGCGGAAGAGAUAAGUGCUGAAAGCAUCUAAGCACGAAACUUGCCCCGAGAUGAGUUCUCCCUGAGACUUUAGGUCUCCUGAAGGAACGUUGAAGACGACGACGUUGAUAGGCCGGGUGUGUAAGCGCAGCGAUGCGUUGAGCUAACCGGUACUAAUGAACCGUGAGGCUUAACCUUACAA